rnacentral:rRNA from 1 species
AAAACGACUCUCGGCAACGGAUAUCUCGGCUCUCGCAUCGAUGAAGAACGUAGCGAAAUGCGAUACUUGGUGUGAAUUGCAGAAUCCCGUGAACCAUCGAGUCUUUGAACGCAAGUUGCGCCCCAAGCCGUUAGGCCGAGGGCACGCCUACCUGGGUGUCACGC